rnacentral:rRNA from 1 species
UAUAUUUGACAAUUGGGCAAAACCUGAUGCAGGCAUGACGCGUGUUUGAAAACGGUCUUCUGAUUUUUAAGCACUUUAUGUUGGGGGGGAGGGCAGUACGUUAAUCACUUGUUGUUUUGAGGGUUGCGACAGAAUAAGCACCGGCUAAAUUGGUGCCUGCAGCCGCGGUAAUACGAAGGGUGCAAGUGUUCAUCGGAAUUACUUGGCUUAAAGCGCGCGUAGGUGGUGUGUUAAGUUGGAAGUGAAAGCCCCGGGCUCAACCUGGGAACUGCUUUCAAAACUGGCAAGCUAGAGUAUGGCAGAGGGUGGUGGAAUUUCCUGUGUAGCGGUGAAAUGCGUAGAUAUAGGAAGGAACACCAGUGGCGAAGGCGACCACCUGGGCUAAUACUGACACUGAGGUGCGAAAGCGUGGGGAGCAAAC